rnacentral:sRNA from 1 species
CCUGCAAGGGGCGACUCCCACUCGUCAUGGCUAAAACACCUCCCCCUUGGCUAUCUUGAUAUACGCGUUGGAAUAACUAAGAAAUAUGAAACGGAGUAAGACAUAGGCGGCUUUAUGGGAAAAUCAGCUAAUCUUUAAAUAUGUAUGGGCUGUGGUUGUUUGUACUGUACUGUACAUUAAUCCGUACAAGGACAGACAUUUCGGGUAUAUAUUUCUACAGUUGCGAUUGAUACACAUCUACGAAACAAAAAAGGAAUAGAUAAAAGCCAUAUCGCUCACACAUCAUCGCGUCCAUUCUGAUUGUUCAAAAUGAUUCCCCUCUCCUCCAGAAACACUCCGGCAAUCUCCACAUUCCCCGUUGCCAUCGCAGACUCUGCCAAAUCCACUGCCGUUUCCCCGUUCUUAUCCCUCACGUCCAAAUUAGCACCGGAGCGUAGAAGCAGCCGUAUUAACUCGACCUGCACGCGCCAGCACGCUGCGUGCAGCGGUGUCCCACCCCCACGACCCCCUUGAGCGUUGACAUCGCUGCCCUGAGCGAGCAGGUGUUCAAAUACAGAUGUGAGGGCGAAGGAUGUCGCAUAGUACAGCGGUGUGCCGGUGCGUGGGUACAGGUUGUACGUUUUCUGUAGGCGGCGAGGGUUGACGAAGAGGAUCUGCACCCAGGAUAAGAAGUUGGCAGUUGGGGGAUCUGCGAAUAGGGUUGUGGCUUGGAUGUAGAGGGUUGGGUUUUGGGACGGAUUUAGGUAUGGGCGGGCGUGGUCUGCCCAGUUAUGUGAGAUGUACUGCAGCAGAGGCCAGUCCUUUAGCCGUUGUAUCAUAUCUUCAGAGGUUACACAGGGGCCCGUGCUGAAUUGGGAAAGCAUCAGGUAGGUUAAGCAGAGCGUGGAAAGUUCAGGGAGGCAGUGGCAUUCGGGAAGAUAGAAGCGUGGUAGGCUGUUCGCAGCGCAGGAUGAAAGAAGAUAGUCUCGUACGGAAUUAUGGGCAAGGACGACGUAUGGGCCGUCAAGAGAGACGAGAGAGCCGCAGACUUCCAGGAUGUCUUCGGGGUCAUGGAGUCUGUCCUCUGGGUCCAGAGUUGUGAUAUUUGGCUGAAUGAUGGCGCCCUCGGCAAGUUCGGAGAGAGUGAGGGGCCGGCUGGCGUAGGCGAGCCAGAGGAGUGCUUGUCGUGCGAGGGGUAUGUCGUGUUCAGAGAUACGGCCUAAGAUUCGCUCAUAUGUUUCGUCA